rnacentral:rRNA from 1 species
CGGUAAUUCCAGCUCCAAUAGCGUAUACUAAAGUUGUUGCAGUUAAAAAGCUCGUAGUUGGAUUUCUGCGGGGACGGAGCGGCCGGUCGCAACUUGCGACUCGAGCUAGCGCUUUCCCCGCAUCCUGCCGCGAACCGUGCUACCAUUAGCUUGGUGGCGCUGGGGAUCGGCUCGAUUACUUUGAGAAAAGUAGAGUGUUCAAAGCAGGCCACACGCCUUGAAUAAGUUAGCAUGGAAUAAUGACUAAGGACUUCGGUUCUAUUUUGUUGGUGUUCGGGACUGAAGUAAUGAUUGAUAGGGACAGUUGGGGCGGUCUGUAUUCCAAAGCGAGAGGUGAAAUUCUUAGACCUUCGGAAGACAAACAGCUGCGAAAGCGUUCCGCAAGGAUGUUCCCUUUGAUCAAGAACGAAAGUUGGGGGAUCGAAGACGAUCAGAUACCGUCGUAGUCUCAACUAUAAACUAUACCAGCUAGGGAUCGGUCAACGUUUAAUCAUUCGACUUGAUCGGCACCUUACGAGAAAUCAAAGCAUCUGGGUUCCGGGGGGAGUAUGGUCGCAAGGCUGAAACUUAAAGGAAUUGACGGAAGGGCACCACCAGCCGUGGAGCCUGUGGCUUAAUUUGACUCAACACGGGAAAACUUACCAGGUCCAGACAUAGUAAGGAUUGACAGAUUGAUAGCUCUUUCUUGAUUCUGUGGGUGGUGGUGCAUGGCCGUUCUUAGUUGGUGGAGUGAUUUGUCUGGCUAAUUCCGUUAACGAACGAGACCCCAGCCUGCUAAAUAGCGCGGCUGAGCUUUGCUCGGUGCGAGCUUCUUAGAGGGACUAUGAUGCGCGAUAGCACAUGGAAGUUUGGGGCAAUAACAGGUCUGUGAUGCCCUUAGAUGUUCUGGGCCGCACACGGGCUACACUGGCGCCUGCAACGAGCAUAUCAGCUGGCCCGAGAGGGUCUUGGCUAAUCUUUUGAACCGGCGCCGUGCUUGGGAUUGACCAUUGCAAUUGUUGGUCAUGCAACGAGGAAUGCCUUGUAAACGCGAGUCAUCAGCUCGCAUUGAAUACGUCCCUGCCCUUUGUACACACCGCCCGUCGCUCCUACCGAUGAAUGUUCCGAUGAAAUUUUCGGAGAGCGCUAGAGAACGGGGCUCCGCCUUGCAGAUCUGGAGGCUCAAAGUCACUUGAAUCUGAACAUUUCGAGGAAGGAGAAGUCGUAACAAGGUAGCCG